AUCGAAUCUUCUAAGCGAACUGUUUAAUUUGUUUCAAUUAAAGUGUGUUUAGUUAUGCAUUCUGGACACACGAGAACUUUUCGAAAGAUUAGUUAUGUGACCCAUCUGUGGCGAUAAACCGUCGUUCCUGAUAGUUCGUGUCAGUUAUUCUCGAUAGAUGAGUCAUCUUUUGAUAUGAACCGUUAUUCUAGGCAAUUAAAUGAAGUAUUUCUCAAACAUUAUAGUUUAUUUUUUGAUUUCUUAUACGUGUGUUUAGCAUUAACAUCUAAAGAAUUCAAAAUUUUAAAUACACUCAUCUUAUCUCGUAAUAUGCAAACUAUAAAUAUUGAAUUCAUAUCCAUUAGUAUUGUAAUUGUUGUUUUCAAUUAGAUGGAGGAGGCAUUAACUCGUGCUCGGAUAAUCAUGUUGGUCAAUUGCUUAGUGGGAACCAAGAAGUGAACGGUAUAUGCAUUAAUUAUGAGAAAUUCAAAAUUUUUAAUACUCUUAUGUUAUUCCGUAAUUUGAAAACUAGAAAUAAUGAACUCAUGUCGAUUAGUGUUGCAAAUGUUGUUUUCAAAUAGAUGGAGGAGUCAUAGAGUUUGAAGUGUCAUGCCUGGACAACGAGAAAGUUCCCUCAACUUGUAGCGUGACGGAUGCGGUCAUCAUACCCAUCGAAAGUAACGAUAUUGUUAACACAAAAGGCAAUGAUCGACACACAUUUGAUUUCUUGCAGCAUCUACUAGGACUCUAUACAUCAAAGAAAGGAGAAAAAGAAAUAGCGUGACGAAAUUUUUUAAUACUACAUUAAAAUUGAUUUGUGUACUAAAUGACCUCAUUUUGCUCUCCUCCAAGAAUGUGGUUAUAAACAUGAUUUGGUGGUUAUAUCCACAUGUGAUUACAUAUUUUAUCAUUUAUCGUUUCUCAU
rnacentral:lncRNA from 1 species